rnacentral:rRNA from 1 species
AUUGAACGCUGGCGGCAGGCCUAACACAUGCAAGUCGAACGAGUGGCGGACGGGUGAGUAAUGUCUGGGAAACUGCCUGAUGGAGGGGGAAAACUACUGGAAACGGUAGCUAAUACCGCCUACCAUCCGAUGUACCCAGUAGGGAUUGGCUAGUUGGUGGGGUAACGGCUCACCAAGGCGACGAUCCCUAGCUGGUCUGAGAGGAUGACCGGCCACAUUGGGACUGAGACACGGCCCAGACUCCUACGGGAGGCAGCAGUGGGAAAUAUCGCACAAGGGGCGCAAUCCGGCUGCACCCAUCCCGCGGAGAGGAAGCGGGCUUUCGGGUUUUAAAGUAUGUUCAGCGGGGCGGCGGUACCCGCAUAGGAAGCCCCGGCUAACUCCGUGCCAGCAGCCGCGGUAAUAC